rnacentral:misc_RNA from 1 species
GAUGAAGAACGUAGCGAAAUGCGAUAAGUAGUGUGAAUUGCAGAAUUCAGUGAAUCAUCGAAUCUUUGAACGCACAUUGCGCCCCUUGGUAUUCCAUGGGGCAUGCCUGUUCGAGCGUCAUUUGUACCUUCAAGCUUUGCUUGGUGUUGGGUGUUUGUCCAUUCUCUUGCAGAGGGACUCGCCUUAACGUAAUUGGCAGCCAGUGUUUUGGUUUUGAAGCGCAGCACAAGUCGCGAUUCAAAGCUAUACGCCCGCUUCCACAAGCCUUUUUCACUUUUGACCUCGGAUCAGGUAGGGAUACCCGCUGAACUUAAGCAUAUCAAUAAGCGGAGGA